GAUGAAGAACGUAGCGAAAUGCGAUAAGUAGUGUGAAUUGCAGAAUUCAGUGAAUCAUCGAAUCUUUGAACGCACAUUGCGCCCUCUGGUAUUCCGGGGGGCAUGCCUGUCCGAGCGUCAUUGCAACCCCUCAAGCACGGCUUGUGUUAUGGGCGGACGUCCCCUUAGCCGGUGGACGGGCCCCAAAUGCAGUGACCGAGGCCGUGAUUCCGGCGCCCGAGCGAAUGGGAUUUCCACCAGCUCUAGUGGCCCGGCCGGUCCUCAGGUCCCGACCAAUUUCAUUUCAAGGUUGACCUCGGAUCAGGUAGGGAUACCCGCUGAACUUAAGCAUAUCAAUAAGCGGAGGA
rnacentral:misc_RNA from 1 species